UACGUAGGGGGCGAGCGUUGUCCGGAAUUAUUGGGCGUAAAGCGCGCGCAGGCGGCCGGUUAAGUCUCAUGUAUAAGCCCAGGGCUCAACCUUGGGACGCAUGGGAAACUGGCUGGCUUGAGUGCAGGAGAGGAGAGCGGAAUUCCACGUGUAGCGGUGAAAUGCGUAGAGAUGUGGAGGAACACCAGUGGCGAAGGCGGCUCUCUGGACUGUAACUGACGCUGAGGCGCGAAAGCGUGGGGAGCAAACA
rnacentral:rRNA from 1 species